rnacentral:lncRNA from 1 species
GUGGUGUCAGUGCUCACAAAGGUUAACCCCUCUGAAGGAGGGCGGCACUUCUCUUGGCAUGACAUGACAGAAACUGUGUUGCCACAACCUGAUCCCAUUUCAUACUGGGCAGGAUCAGGUCAGGUUGUAUCAGUGUUAUAUUCUGUUGGAAAACGGUAUUGUAUUUCAGCAUGUUUUCUCCACAGUGGACAAAGCCUUUAACUUCUCCCUUUAUUUCAGGGUGAGAGGGGAGCUCCUGGCCUCCCUGGACAGUCAGGAGACAGAGGUGUGCCAGGAGUUGGACUGGCUGGACCACCUGGCCCUGUUGGACCCCCAGGAGACAAAGGAUCAUUGGGUCCUCGUGGUAUACCUGGUAUCCCUGGACCACAGGGGCCUCCUGGCCAGGAUCUGCAGACUCAUCAGAUGACCUUGGAAAUGUGUCUGUUAUAGGUUGUUAUAUUCCCUGAUACUGCAAUAUCAUAUUUAGAGUUGUAUUUCGGGAGGUGAAAGAAUAAAUACUUCCUUUGCAGUAGCUUUGACCAGAAUUAUCUCCCAGAGGAAUACAUUGUUUUUCUGCAUGACUGCAUCCUGGAAGGAGUGGCUGACACACCAUUAGGCUGUGCUGCCGUUCAGUGAUCCUCACAGACUGGAGAGUUCAAUGUGGAACUUCUAGGGAGAGUCCAGCAGAGGGCCACAAAGAUGAGAGACCUGGAGCAUCUCUCUUAUGAGNUGUGCUAAUUAUUACUGAUAACUACAUUCCAA